UGUUUCUAUGGAGAUGAGCAUUCCUUGAUUUUCAUCACCUGUCACCUGAAAGUUGUUGCUGUGGAUCAGGGAGAUUCCAGGAACAAAGCUUGUACUUUCCAGAAGCUGCAGAAUAUCUGGACCCCAUUGGAGGAAUCUGACAGUGACAUUUGUGCCUGUUGCCAUGUGGGGAACUGUGGGAGCACAAGGGAGAUCCUGUUCCCCUCCAGAGGAAGGAGAGACCUUGGUCCUGAAGCUGAGAGUGAAGCUGGAUUCAAGUGGGAAGGGGAGGCCUCACUUGACCCC